AUCCCUUCCCCACCUUUUGGCUAAGAUCUACUGUAGUAUCUGUUCUUAUCGGUUUAAUAUCCCCUUUCCAAACAUAUUUUAAAGAAUAUUUUAAGGUUAGCCACUGCACUGACCACCU
ensembl:snRNA U2 U2 spliceosomal RNA